rnacentral:tRNA from 1 species
GGCCCGUUGGUCAAGCGGUUAAGACACCGCCCUUUCACGGCGGUAACACGGGUUCGAAU